AGAUUGAUGUUGCUCCAAUAGAUGUUGACGAUGAAGUUGAAGAACAAGUACAUGGUGGUGUUAUUCGGUUUGUUCGUACUGCCGGUGAUGAUUAUUUUAGAAUUCCUAAUCCUGUUUCACAUAUGGCUAAGCUUCAUGAAGGGUUAAAAGAUUUGACCAUAAAAUUUUUGCAUCUGGACCCGCCACAGCAGAUUACUAACGGUACCAGACGUGAAAGAAGACCCAAUGGUCGUGGUUAUCGUUACGCUUUAACCUCUUGGAAGAAGUUCAUGAAAGCUGCUCAAAUUAAGGCCCGUGACCAGAAAUGGAAGAAGGUGCAAUCACAUUGUUGAAUAAUUUGGACCUCAAUGUUGAUAACUAUACCAUAAGAAUACGCAUUGUUCGUUUGUGGACAAGAGCUGAUUUCAAUAACGCUAGAAAAGUGUAUUGUUAUGAUAUGAUAUUCAUGGACAGUGAGGGAACAAAAAUGCAAGCUUUUGUUUUGGCUAAAAAUGCAGCUGGAUAUCAACAUCUUUUGGAAGAAAAGCGUUGUUUGACUAUUAGAAAUCCUUCAUUGGGUGAGAAUCGU